rnacentral:tRNA from 1 species
GGGCGUUUGGCAGAGUGGUCGAAUGCGGCGGGCUGUAAACCCGUUUCCAAAAGACGCGGUGGUUCGAAUCCAUCAACGCCCACCA